rnacentral:rRNA from 1 species
GAUAAAUAAAAUUAAAUAUCAACAAUAUUUAUAAUAAAGAUAUAGCAUAAUUAAUAUAUUUAUAUUUCUUUUAAAAUAAUCUUUUUGCCUGUGGGAUAAUGAAUUAAUAAUAUUUAAUUAAUAUUAUUUUAAUUUUAGAAAGUAAAGAGUCAUUGGUAUUUUAUAGUAAGUUUAACAAACAGUUGCAACUGUUUGUUAAAAAUAUCAAAUGAGAAAUUCAUAGUCUUUACUUAUAACUAAUUAUUGAAUUGUGUUAAGCUUAAAGUUAAUAAUUAACUUAUAAUUGUGGGGCCAGCUCGUAAUUUAGAUAUUGCUUUUAUUAUUAUAUUUAUUUAUAGGAAUGACAUUAUCCAAUUAUUACUUUAUUAUUAAUUUGAUUUGUUGUUGAUUUUACUCAAUUGCAAUUAUUUUAUUAGAUAUUUAUUUUUUAAUAAAAUUAUAUUAAUAUUAGUAAACAUUAAAUUAAUAAUUACUAACUUUAUUAUUUGCUGAACUGUUUAUCAAAAACAUUUUUAUUAUAUUUAAUAAUAACCCCUGCUCAAUGUUAAAAUUAAUAGCUGCUUAUGUACGAAGGUAGCAUAAUCAUUUGUUCAUUAAUUGUGGACCAGUAUGAAUGGGGUUUUUAGCAGAUAAAUAUGUUUUAUUAAUUUGUGGAAUUUAUAUUUUUAGUGAAAAUACUAAAAUAAUUAAAGAGGACGAAAAGACCCUAAAGAGCUUUAUUAUUAUAAAUUAUUCUAUAUGUAUUGUUUUAUAAUUUUAUAAUAAUUUAAUUGGGGCGAUUAUAAUAAAUAAAAACAAUUAUUAUUUUAUAAUAAUUUGAUUUUGAUCCAAAUAUGAUUAAGGAUAAGCUACCUUAGGGAUAACAGCAUAAUUUAAUAUUAAAGUUCUUAUUUAAUAUUCAGAUUUUGACCUCGAUGUUGGAUUAAGUAAUUGUUUCUAGAAGCUUAGAAGUUCAAAUAAUGUCUGUUCGACAUUUAUUUUUUACUUACAUGAUCUGAGUUCAGACCGGUGUAAGCCAGGUCGGUCUUUAUCCUUUAUUAAUAUUUGUUAGCAGUACGAAAGGACCCUAAUAACUAGAAUUUCUAUAUUUAUUGACUAAU